GAUGAACGCUGGCGGCGUGCCUAACACAUGCAAGUCGAACGGAGUCCAGCCUUUAAGACCUUCGGGUCAAAGAGGGGAAGACUGAGUGGCGGACGGGUGAGUAACACGUGGGCAACCUGGCUCAUAGAGGGGGAUAACAGAGAGAAAUUUCUGCUAAUACCGCAUAAGCACACACUGCCGCAUGGCAGAGGGUGAAAAGAGAAUCGCUAUGAGAUGGACCCGCGUCUGAUUAGCCAGUUGGCAGGGUAAGAGCCUACCAAAGCGACGAUCAGUAGCCGAGCUGAGAGGAUGAACCGCCACACUGGGACUGAGACACGGCCCAAAAUCCUACGGGAGGCAGCAGUGGGGGAUAUUGCACAAUGGGGGGAACCCUGAUGCAGCGACGCCGCGUGAGUGAAGAAGUAUUUCGGUAUGUAAAGCUCUAUCAGCAGGGAAGAUAAUGACAGUACCUGAAGAAGAAGCCCCGGCUAACUACGUG
rnacentral:rRNA from 1 species